GAUGAACGCUGGCGGCGUGCCUAAUACAUGCAAGUCGAGCGAACAGAUGAGGAGCUUGCUCCUCUGACGUUAGCGGCGGACGGGUGAGUAACACGUGGAUAACCUACCUAUAAGACUGGGAUAACUUCGGGAAACCGGAGCUAAUACCGGAUAAUAUAUUGAACCGCAUGGUUCAAUAGUGAAAGACGGUUUUGCUGUCACUUAUAGAUGGAUCCGCGCCGCAUUAGCUAGUUGGUAAGGUAACGGCUUACCAAGGCAACGAUGCGUAGCCGACCUGAGAGGGUGAUCGGCCACACUGGAACUGAGACACGGUCCAGACUCCUACGGGAGGCAGCAGUAGGGAAUCUUCCGCAAUGGGCGAAAGCCUGACGGAGCAACGCCGCGUGAGUGAUGAAGGUCUUCGGAUCGUAAAACUCUGUUAUUAGGGAAGAACAAAUGUGUAAGUAACUAUGCACGUCUUGACGGUACCUAAUCAGAAAGCCACUGCUAACUACGUG
rnacentral:rRNA from 1 species